AUUGAACGCUGGCGGCAGGCCUAACACAUGCAAGUCGAGCGAGCGGCGGACGGGUGAGUAAUGUCUGGGAAACUGCCUGAUGGAGGGGGAUAACUACUGGAAACGGUAGCUAAUACCGCAUACCAUCAGAUGUGCCCAGAUGGGAUUAGCUAGCUGGUGGGGUAAAGGCCUACCAAGGCGACGAUCUGUAGCGGGUCUGAGAGGAUGGUCCGCCACACUGGGAAUGGGACACGGCCCAGACUCCUAAGGGAGGCAGCAGUUGGGAAUAUUGGAAAAUGGGGGGAACUCUGAUCCCGCCAUGCCGCGGGUGUGAAGAAGGCCUUAUGGUUGUAAAGCACUUUAAGCGAGGAGGCGUUACUCGCAGAAUAAGCACCGGCUAACUCUGUGCCAGCAGCCGCGGUAAUUC
rnacentral:rRNA from 1 species